GAGAGUAAGCUAAUCUCUUAAAGCCGUUCUCAGUUCGGACUGUAGGCUGCAACUCGCCUACACGAAGUCGGAAUCGCUAGUAAUCGCGGAUCAGCAUGCCGCGGUGAAUACGUUCCCGGGCCUUGUACACACCGCCCGUCACACCAUGGGAGUCGGAAAUGCCCGAAGCCGGUGACCAAACCAAUAAGGAAGGAGCCGUCGAAGGCAGGUCUGAUAACUGGGGUGAAGUCGUAACAAGGUAUC
rnacentral:rRNA from 1 species